rnacentral:tRNA from 1 species
CAGAGUAUAGUUUAUAUAAAAUAUUAACUUUGGGAGUUAAUGAAGAAUAAUUAUAUUUUUCUCUGA